UCAAACUUGGUCAUUUAGAGGAAGUAAAAGUCGUAACAAGGUUUCCGUAGGUGAACCUGCGGAAGGAUCAUUAAUGAAAUCAUAUUCUCCUUUGGAGUUUGCAUUCAUUUGCUAUCUCUGUUCUUUUGAUUAGUAUGUUGUAGGGAGAUUUAUUCUCCUGUAUACUUGGUUCUAUGCUUUUACAAUCACUGUAUAACCAUGAAUGUAUUGCAGGUCGAAGGACCUUUAUAAUCUUAUAUACAACUUUCAGCAACGGAUCUCUUGGCUCAUGCAUCGAUGAAGAACGCAGC
rnacentral:misc_RNA from 1 species